UACAGUCUGGAUUAUAUCUUACAUUUUCCAGAAUUCAAAAGUAAAUACAAGAAGCCAUUGUUCCUCUAGCCUGAACUAAUCUUUCCUUGCUUUCUUGGCUCUUGCAUUAAUCAGCUUCAACUCAGCUUUUCUCUUUGCAGCUUCUUCCUCCUUCUUCUGAGUGAGCUUGUUUUCAAUCUCUUCAAUCCUAGCAGUGAUGGUACUCAGUGCCACUUGCUCCAGU
rnacentral:lncRNA from 1 species